GCAAAAGUUUACUUGACCUCAUGUUACUGGAACUAUGGAGUUGUAGAAAGCCACAUGAAUUCUUUAGGGAUCUGACUGCUUAAAAGAGGAGAGCAAUGCCAGUAUUUUGCCACACUGGAGACUGGGAACACAUUGCUGGCUUGUACUCCAUGUUCUAGGACACCAUAUGUGUAACCCAAGAAGUCUGGUUGCUUGCAUCCCACCUCCUGAAGUGACCAUUGCGUUUAUCUUAAAGAUAAUGAAACCAUUGCAAUUGUCUAGAACAACCAAUCAGAGGUCCAUUCAAAAUUAUAGAUGACGAUACAAUCUCUGUUAGCCUGAAGAUUACAUCUGCUUUUUAAUUCUAUGAAGCAGGUCUUGGAUAAAUAACAAGUGACUCUUGGUACAAUUGUAUAAAUUCACCGUAGCUUUACUAAAUGUGCUAUGAUGCAAAGCUUCUUUAGUUGGUUCAG